GACGAACGCUGGCGGCGUGCUUAACACAUGCAAGUCGAACGGAAAGGCCCUGCUUUUGUGGGGUGCUCGAGUGGCGAACGGGUGAGUAACACGUGAGUAACCUGCCCUUGACUUUGGGAUAACUUCAGGAAACUGGGGCUAAUACCGGAUAGGAGCUCCUGCUGCAUGGUGGGGGUUGGAAAGUUUCGGCGGUUGGGGAUGGACUCGCGGCUUAUCAGCUUGUUGGUGGGGUAGUGGCUUACCAAGGCUUUGACGGGUAGCCGGCCUGAGAGGGUGACCGGCCAACUGGGGUAGGAAGAAGGCCCCACACCACUACGGGGGGCAGAGGGGGGGAAUAGUACAAAAGGGGGGGAACCCUGAUGGCGCAACGCCGGGGGGGGGAGGACGGCCUUCGGGUUGGAAACCGCUUUCGCCGGUAACGAGGGGGGAGGGAGGGAAAUGGGGAAAGAAGCACCGCUAAAUCACUG
rnacentral:rRNA from 1 species